rnacentral:tRNA from 1 species
GGGGUUGUGGCUCAGUGGUAGAGUGCCCCCCUAGCAUGGGCAAGGCACUGAGUUUGAUCCUCGGCACCCUUA